rnacentral:rRNA from 1 species
ACGCUCGACACCUACGGGAGGCAGCAGUGGGGAAUAUUGCACAAUGGGGGAAACCCUGAUGCAGCAACGCCGCGUGAGUGAAGAAGUAUUUCGGUAUGUAAAGCUCUAUCAGCAGGGAANAUAAUGACGGUACCUGACUAAGAAGCUCCGGCUAAAUACGUGCCACAGCCGCGGUAAUCUGAGCGGGCUGGCAAGGC